rnacentral:rRNA from 1 species
UGGGAAUUUGGACAAUGGGCGAAAGCCUGAUCCAGCAAUGCCGCGUGUGUGAAGAAGGCCUUCGGGUUGUAAAGCACUUUUGUCCGGAAAGAAAUCCUUGGCUCUAAUACAGUCGGGGGAUGACGGUACCGGAAGAAUAAGCACCGGCUAACUACGUGCCAGCAGCCGCGGUAAUACGUAGGGUGCAAGCGUUAAUCGGAAUUACUGGGCGUAAAGCGUGCGCAGGCGGUUUGCUAAGACCGAUGUGAAAUCCCCGGGCUCAACCUGGGAACUGCAUUGGUGACUGGCAGGCUAGAGUAUGGCAGAGGGGGGUAGAAUUCCACGUGUAGCAGUGAAAUGCGUAGAGAUGUGGAGGAAUACCGAUGGCGAAGGCAGCCCCCUGGGCCAAUACUGACGCUCAUGCACGAAAGCGUGGGGAGCAAACAGGAUUAGAUACCCUGGUAGUCCACGCCCUAAACGAUGUCAACUAGUUGUUGGGGGAUUCAUUUCCUUAGUAACGUAGCUAACGCGUGAAGUUGACCGCCUGGGGAGUACGGUCGCAAGAUUAAAACUCAAAGGAA